rnacentral:rRNA from 1 species
UACGUAGGGGGCAAGCGUUGUCCGGAAUCAUUGGGCGUAAAGAGCGCGUAGGCGGCCCGGUAAGUCCGCUGUGAAAGUCAAGGGCUCAACCCUUGAAUGCCGGUGGAUACUGUCAGGCUAGAGUCCGGAAGAGGCGAGUGGAAUUCCUGGUGUAGCGGUGAAAUGCGCAGAUAUCAGGAGGAACACCAAUGGCGAAGGCAGCUCGCUGGGACGGUACUGACGCUGAGACGCGAAAGCGUGGGGAGCGAACAGG